rnacentral:rRNA from 1 species
UACGGAGGGGGCUAGCGUUGUUCGGAAUUACUGGGCGUAAAGCGCGCGUAGGCGGCGAUUUAAGUCAGAGGUGAAAGCCCGGUGCUCAACAUCGGAAUUGCCUUUGAGACUGGGUUGCUAGAGUCCGGAAGAGGUGAGUGGAACUCCGAGUGUAGAGGUGAAAUUCGUAGAUAUUCGGAAGAACACCAGUGGCGAAGGCGGCUCACUGGUCCGGUACUGACGCUGAGGUGCGAAAGCGUGGGGAGCAAACAGG